CCAGCUCUCUUCGCCUUUUGGCUUAGAUCAAGUGUAGUAGCUGUUCUUUUUAGUUUAAUCUCUAGAACGCCCCUACGGGGGCAUUUCUGUUGAUUAAACCAGUUUUUGGCAAUCGGUCUAGCGGCGCGCUGAGCUCCGCUCAAUCGCCGCGGCCACAGUGUCGCCAGUAUUGCACUGCUUCUGGCCGAUGCGACCUCUU
rnacentral:snRNA from 1 species